rnacentral:lncRNA from 1 species
AGUAAUGUUGUCCACGUAGUUAAAUCUGUGUCAGAUGCAUUGUGUAUUCUAUAUCCUGUCAGGGAUGUUAUCCAGGUAGAGUAUUCUAUAUCCUGUCAGUGAUGUUGUAUUCUAUAUCCUGUCAGUGAUGUUAUCCAGGUAGAGUAUUCUAUAUCCUGUCAGUGAUGUUAUCCAGGUAGAGUAUUCUAUAUCCUGUCAGUGAUGUUAUCCAGGUAGAGUAUUCUAUAUCCUGUCAGUGAUGUUGUCCAGGUAGAGUAUUCUAUAUCCUGUCAGUGAUGUUAUCCAGGUAGAGUAUUCUAUAUCCUGUCAGUGAUGUUGUCCAGGUAGAGUAUUCUAUUUCCUGUCAGUGAUAUUGUAUUCUAUAUCCUGUCAGUGAUGUUGUCCAGGUGUUGUAUUCUAUAUCCUGUCAGUGAUGUUAUCCAGGUAGAGUAUUCUAUAUCCUGUCAGUGAUGUUAUCCAGGUAGAGUAUUCUAUAUCCUGUCAGUGAUGUUGUCCAGGUAGAGUAUUCUAUUUCCUGUCAGUGAUGUUGUAUUCUAUUUCCUGUCAGUGAUGUUAUCCAGGUAGAGUAUUCUAUAUCCUGUCAGUGAUGUUGUAUUCUAUAUCCUGUCAGUGAUGUUGUCCAGGUAGAGUAUUCUAUAUCCUGUCAGUGAUGUUAUCCAGGUAGAGUAUUCUAUUUCCUGUCAGUGAUGUUAUCCAGGUAGAGUAUUCUAUUUCCUGUCAGUGAUGUUGUCCAGGUAGAGUAUUCUAUAUCCUGUCAGUGAUGUUGUCCAGGUAGAGUAUUCUAUAUCCUGUCAGUGAUGUUAUCCAGGUAGAGUAUUCUAUAUCCUGUCAGGGAUGUUGUCCAGGUAGAGUAUUCUAUAUCCUGUCAGUGA